ACAAGCGGAGGAGCAUGUGGUUUAAUUCGAUGAUACGCGAGGAACCUUACCUGGGCUCGAACGUAAGAUGACUGUAGGUGAAAGCUUACAUCUCUUCGGAGCAUUUUACGAGGUGCUGCAUGGUUGUCGUCAGCUCGUGCCGUGAGGUGUCGGGUUAAGUCCCAUAACGAGCGCAACCCCUACCUUUAGUUGCCAUCAGGUUAAGCUGGGGACUCUAAAGGAACUGCCCACGCAAGUAGUGAGGAAGCGGGGAUGACGUCAAAUCAGCACGGCCCUUACGUCCAGGGCUACACACGUGCUACAAUGGCCGAUACAGAGGGCAGCUACCUGGUGACAGGAUGCAAAUCUCCAAAGUCGGUCUCAGUUCGGAUCGGAGUCUGCAACCCGACUCCGUGAAGUUGGAUUCGCUAGUAAUCGCGCAUCAGCCAUGGCGCGGUGAAUACGUUCCCGGGCCUU
rnacentral:rRNA from 1 species